rnacentral:misc_RNA from 1 species
UGGUUCUGGCAUCGAUGAAGAACGCAGCGAAAUGCGAUAAGUAAUGUGAAUUGCAGAAUUCAGUGAAUCAUCGAAUCUUUGAACGCACAUUGCGCCCGCCAGUAUUCUGGCGGGCAUGCCUGUCCGAGCGUCAUUUCAACCCCUCAAGCCCUGCUUGGUGUUGGGGCCCUACGUGCGCCGUAGGCCCCGAAUUCCAGUGGCGGGCUCGCCGCGAUCCCGAGCGUAGUAGCACUACACCUCGCUCCAGGGCGCCGCGGCGGGCGCCGGCCGUGAAAAACCCAUACUUUUUUUUCAGGUUGACCUCGGAUCAGGUAGGAAUACCCGCUGA